rnacentral:rRNA from 1 species
CCCAGACUCCUACGGGAGGCAGCAGUGAGGAAUAUUGGUCAAUGGGCGCGAGCCUGAACCAGCCAAGUCGCGUGAGGGAAGACGGUCCUAUGGAUUGUAAACCUCUUUUGUCGGGGAGCAAAAGACGCCACGCGUGGCGUUCCGAGAGUACCCGAAGAAAAAGCAUCGGCUAACUCCGUGCCAGCAGCCGCGGUAAUACGGAGGAUCCGAGCGUUAUCCGGAUUUAUUGGGUUUAAAGGGUGCGUAGGCGGGCUUUUAAGUCAGCGGUAAAAAUUCGGGGCUCAACCCCGUCCGGCCGUUGAAACUGGGGGCCUUGAGUGGGCGAGAAGAAGGCGGAAUGCGUGGUGUAGCGGUGAAAUGCAUAGAUAUCGCGCAGAACUCCGAUUGCGAAGGCAGCAUGCCGGCUCCACACUGACGCUGAGGCACGAAAGCGUGGGUAUCGAACAGGAUUAGAACCCCAGUAA